UGGGGAAUAUUGGGCAAUGGGCGCAAGCCUGACCCAGCAACGCCGCGUGAGGGAAGAAGGCUUUCGGGUUGUAAACCUCUGUCCUUGGUGACGAAAAAAAUGACGGUAGCCAAGGAGGAAGCCCCGGCUAACUACGUGCCAGCAGCCGCGGUAAUACGUCGGGGGCGAGCGUUGUCCGGCAUUACUGGGCGUAAAGGGUGCGUAGGUGGCCUUUUAAGUUGGAUGUGAAAUCCCCGGGCUUAACUUGGGUGGUGCCGCUAAUACUGGAGGGCUAGAGUGCAGGAGAGGGAAGCGGAAUUCCUAGUGUAGCGGUGAAAUGCGUAGAUAUUAGGAGGAACACCAGUGGCGAAGGCGGCUUUCUGGACUGUAACUGACACUGAGGCACGAAAGCGUGGGGAGCAAACA
rnacentral:rRNA from 1 species